UGCCUCAGUAACGGCGAGUGAAGCGGCAACAGCUCAAAUUUGAAAUCUGGCCCUCCCCGCGGGGGUCCGAGUUGUAAUUUACAGAGGAUGCUUUCGGCGAGGUGCCUUCCGAGUUCCCUGGAACGGGACGCCGCAGAGGGUGAGAGCCCCGUACGGUCUGGCGCCGAGCCUUCUGUAAAGCUCCUUCGAAGAGUCGAGUAGUUUGGGAAUGCUGCUCAAAACGGGAGGUAAACUCCUCCUAAAGCUAAAUACUGGCCAGAGACCGAUAGCGCACAAGUAGAGUGAUCGAAAGAUGAAAAGCACUUUGGAAAGAGAGUUAAACAGCACGUGAAAUUGUUGAAAGGGAAGCGCUCGCGGCCAGACCUGGGCCCGGUAGCUCAGCCGUCCCUCGGGGCGGUGCACUCUGCCGGUCCAGGCCAGCAUCGGUUCUCGGCGGGGGAGAAAGGCGGUGGGAACGUGGCUCCUAGGAGUGUUAUAGCCCGCCGCCAUGCCCCGUCGGGGACCGUGGUCCGCGCCCUAGUGGCAAGGAUGCUGGCGUAAUGGCCACCAGCGACCCGUCUUGAAACACGGACCAAGGAGUCAUCCUAGUAUGCGAGUGUUCGGGCGUCAAACCCCCUACGCGAAAUGAAAGUGAACGGAGGUGAGAGCUUCGGCGCAUCAUCGACCGAUCCUGAUGUCUUCGGAUGGAUUUGAGUAGGAGCAUACUGGGCUGUACCCGAAAGAAGGUGAACUAUGCUUGGAUAGGGUGAAGCCAGAGGAAACUCUGGUGGAGGCUCGCAGCGGUUCUGACGUGCAAAUCGAUCGUCAAAUCUGAGCAUGGGGGCGAAAGACUAAUCGAACCUUUUAGUAGCUGGUUUCCGCCGAAGUUUCCCUCAGGAUAGCAGUGCUGGUCUCAGUUUUAUGAGGUAAAGCGAAUGAUUAGGGACUCGGGGGCGAUUUUUAGCCUUCAUCCAUUCUCAAACUUUAAAUAUGUAAGAAGCCCUCGUUGCUUUAGUGAACGGGGGCA
rnacentral:rRNA from 1 species